UCUCUCCCUCCCUCUCUCUCUCUCUCUUUCUCUCAAUCCACACUCGCUAUCUCUCCAGCAUUGUCAGUUCGGACACCUUCGCACAUGCGCGCUAGACGCCCCUCCAACAUCUCAGCGCCGCCAAAAAAAGAAAUUUUUUAUACUAUCCACGGAGAAAGCAAGAAGUGGGGCUUUUAAAAUCUUUUCCAUGCUAAAGAACGGAGAAGGACAGGACUUUUGACAACUGAUCCGGGAGAAAGAAUCAUCCUGAACUUCAGGAAAUCUGCUGCCGCUCCUGCUGCUACUGAAGCUCUUGCGGCUUGUGCUUUCAGAGUGGAAAGCUGAAUAAGUAACUGCUUUCUUUCUCGAUGUUAGGUCCAGACAGUCUCAGGCAUUUAACAUCCAAGACCUCCUGCUUCCCUGAGGUCGGCUGUCACCUUCCGGCCUGCCCCACGGCUGCCCCCAUCUCCUGUUGCUGCAGCUCAGCCAGCCAGCCAGCCAUUUUCACUCAUUCGCUUAAACCCACAACCUUUGGGGGUCAAAAGAAAGAGAAGGGGGGAGGGAUUCUUCCCCCCGCCCUUGAAAAAUACAUUGUUGAGAUUUGCUUUAAUUACAGGAUUUACCAAUGAAGUGGGCACAUAGAAAUGGGGAAAUUCUAAAGGGGCCAGCUGUGUUCAAGGUAUGAAUCAAUUUCAACUACAUAUGGAUUUUCUCUUGGUACAACCUCCUUGCAUUAAACAGUUUUGUUCAAUACCUUCCAUGAGGUAUUUAUGUCCCCAAUAAUAUCUGUUGCAAAUCCUGCCAGACACUGUAAAAGAAAAUUACAAUCUUUUCAGUCUCUUUGCUGCAACAGUACAUCCUUGAUGUUCCACUUAUAGGAAAAGGAAAAGAAAAGCAAGCCCUGGGCAUGAGUUUGGCAAAGGCAGGGGAGGGGGAGAAAGAUCACUGAGAAUGUCCUGAGCAAAUAGCAAGGUUCAAGCUUAAGGGGCAUUCACCAAUGGCUUGUAAAAUACCUCUGUUUGAGGAAAUAAAAAUUCAAAGGAUCACCUGGCUAAGGAUGCCCACCAUGUCUUUCUCCAGAGCUGUGUAAUUCUGGGAGCAUGUGGAUGUAAGAUACAGGUCCCUAGAGAACUAAGUACAGGUCCCAAGAGAGACAGAUGUGUAAUGUUGAAAUGUGAGGAAAAGAAAGGGAGCAAAGGAAGGAAUUGCACAGAGCAGGAAUAAAACAACUUCCAAAAGAGAAGGUUCUGGUAAGCACCAUAUGGACACAAGUCAUCCCCUCCAGACUGAACAGGCAGGUGGGUUUGGUUUUUUUGUUUGUUGGUUUUUGUUUUUUGCUUUUUUUGCCAGUCCAAAUACAAUUCCUGUUGGUCUGUACAUCCAGAGUGUACAGUGUGCUCAUACACAGCGGAGGUGGGUGCAAAAUCACCAGGCACUUCAACAUUCUGAGUGUGGCUACCCAGAGGUUUUUGAAUGUGAGUUCACAGGCUCCCCUGGGUUUAGGUGGAGUCCUGCCUUCUCUCUGACCAGUAAGUCCCCAAAGGAAAAAGAGAAGUGGGGGAUUGAGAACCUUUAGAAAGGUAAGAGAGUCACUAGGGAGAGAAACACUAGGCUGGCUGGCAAGAUGUUCAUAGAAGCUGCCUCUGAUCAGUUUAAGGACUGAGGACCCUCACCCAGUCCAGAGGACAGAUAGGCUGCGCUUGAGGACACAACUCCUCCCGUCUGUCGGAACCUCGAGGGCCUUGUCCACUAGGAGAGAAGAAAGAGACCCCAGAGGGAGGAAGAGCUCCCAGAACAGUAGGAGGCUCUGCCUGGGACUUUGCAUUUCACCUUUUCAGCCCCAGGAAGCUUUUAAAAAAUAGUGAAAGGAAUUACUCUCCUUCCCUCUGCUGCUCUCAUUAAUUCUUUUCAUCUUAUCCCCAGGGGGUUCUAUAUCCUGGUCCACUUGAGGACAGGAGGUUAAGAGGAGUGCCAGAGAAUUUUCUAAGAAACGAAGGUACCAUGGAACCAACCCCGGGAUUAAAUAGAAGACCCACAUGUGAAGCUGCGGUGAUUGCUUCUGCUGAGAAAUUACAAACCACGUGUCGGGCCAGGGGUGGGCUGGGGGCUGUGAAGGGAAUUGGGUCGGAUAUGAAAGACUCAGGAAAAUAAAAUCGGA